rnacentral:rRNA from 1 species
CGAUUAAGUAAUGAAGGGCGCACGGUGGAUGCCUUGGCACUAAGAGCCGAUGAAGGACGGAACCAACACCGAUAUGCUUCGGGGAGCUGUAAGUAAGCGUUGAACCGAAGAUUUCCGAAUGGGGGAACCCAGCACAUCAUUAUGUGUUGCCGGUCAGUGAAUAGAUAGCUGACGCGGCGGUAGACCCGGGGAACUGAAACAUCUCAGUACCCGGAGGAAGAGAAAGAAAAAUCGAUUCCCUGAGUAGCGGCGAGCGAAACGGGAAGAGCCCAAACCAGCUUCGGCUGGGGUUGUAGGACACCGACACGCCAAGUAAUGUUGAGCCGAACGGCCUGGAAAGGCCGGCCGGAGGGGGUAACAGUCCCGUAGGCAAAGGACAUUAUUUGGCCCGGUGGAUCCUGAGUACGGCGGAACACGAGGAAUUCCGUCGGAAUCCGGGAGGCCCAUCUCCCAAGGCUAAAUACUCCUUAGUGACCGAUAGCGAACCAGUACCGUGAGGGAAAGGUGAAAAGCACCCCGGAAGGGGAGUGAAACAGAACCUGAAACCGUGUGCCUACAAGUAGUCAGAGCCCGUUAAUGGGUGAUGGC